GUUAAUUCAUUGAUUUCUCAUGUACAGUCUGCCCAAGCUCAAACCCUAGCUUACAUGUAGCUGGGUAGUCUUGGGCCAGUAAUGUAGCCUCUCUCUGUCUCAGUUUCCUCAUCUGUAAAAUGGGGAUAAUAAAAAAUGACUAUAUAGUUAUUAAAAAGGUUAAGUGAGAUACUCUGCCCAAGAAUAGUAACCUAUCAGUAAAUAAAAUGUGUUAUCAGUAUAGCAGCCAACUUUCAGGAAGAUUUAAGAUAGCCACAAACUCUUUUACAUUCUUUCCACUGACAAUUGGGGUCUAUGUUUCUUCCUCUUGAAUCUAGGAAUCUUUUGUGGCAAUUUUAACCAAUAGAAUAAAACAGAAGUGGCACUGUGCCUGUUUCUGACCCAAACCUUACUUAAUGCAUUGGCAGUUUCCUCUUCUGUCUUUUGUAACACUGUUUCAGGGAACCCUGAGAUGAGCUGUUAGAAGUCUGACCACACUGAGAUCAGCAUGCUGGAAGAGCACAUGGAGAGACCCAGAGGAGCGCCCCCACUGUCCCAUCACUUGGAAAAACUAUGCUGGGCAUGCUCUCCAGCCCUGCCAGUCCAGCUGGAAAUAGAUGAGCAGUACAGCUGAUCCCUUCCCAAGUUCAAGAGCAAAAUAAAAUGGUUUUGGGAGCCAUUGUUUCAAAGGAAUAACUUCACUUAAUAGAUAAUCGCAACACUGAUUGUGAAAAUCGAAACAUUAUUAAACAGAUGAAUGAGUUGGAAAAGAGUGGGUAGCCUCCAGACUGGAAGAGAGA
rnacentral:lncRNA from 1 species